rnacentral:rRNA from 1 species
AGACACCGGAAGGUGCGCUUGGUAA